UUGGACCAGUUUUCCCGCCCUAGUCGACCCUCAUGAAGGCAUUCUUGCAAUAUGCUUCAUGUAGAAGAGAUAUGACUUCAGAAAAACAGUCUAAACAACACAGCCAGGAAGAAAGGACAAAGAAGGUGGCAUAUGAGUGUCCAAUGAACAUCCGUUAUCGAAAAUGGUUGACUAAAGCCUUCUGUAGUACAUUACUUGCACAAUCACGGCUUUGAAGAGAAGUCACAAGUUCUUACAUUUUGUAACAUGUUGUGGAAUGUAUUUUAAAACAGAGGGAAAAGUGCAUGACAUCAUGCUCAUGGUAUGGCAUACAUGUAUCAAUCAUUUCUACAUAUAACUGUGUGGUGAGUGAUACAAUUAAGACCUAGACUACACAAUCUAUAGUUCUCACAAAAAGUUAUAUAUUAUGCCACAGUACUAAAAAUAAAAUAUACUCUUCUCAAAUAGUGAAAAUAAAA